rnacentral:rRNA from 1 species
UACAGAGGUGGCAAGCGUUGUUCGGAAUUACUGGGCGUAAAGGGCGCGUAGGCGGCCAUCUAAGUCAGACGUGAAAUCCCCCGGCUUAACCUGGGAACUGCGUCUGAUACUGGGAGGCUUGGGUUUGGGAGAGGGAUGCGGAAUUCCAGGUGUAGCGGUGAAAUGCGUAGAUAUCUGGAGGAACACCGGUGGCGAAGGCGGCAUCCUGGACCAACACUGACACUGAGGAGCGAAAGCCAGGGGAGCAAACGGG